rnacentral:rRNA from 1 species
UACAGAGGGUGCGAGCGUUAAUCGGAAUUACUGGGCGUAAAGCGUGCGCAGGCGGCGGCUCAAGUCAGGUGUGAAAUCCCCGGGCUUAACCUGGGAAUGCGCUUGAAACUAGGUCGCUAGAGUGUGGCAGAGGGGGGUGGAAUUCCACGGUGUAGCAGUGAAAUGCGUAGAGAUGUGGAGGAACACCGAUGGCGAAGGCAGCCCCCUGGGUCAAGAUUGACGCU